AGAGUUUGAUCCUGGCUCAGGAUGAACGCUGGCGGCGUGCUUAACACAUGCAAGUCGAACGAGGCACCUUUGCGGAAGUUUUCGGAUGGAAGCGGAGGCGACCGAGUGGCGGACGGGUGAGUAACGCGUGGGGAACCUGCCCCAUUCCGGGGGAUACCAGUUGGAAACGACUGUUAAUACCGCAUAAGCGCACGGAAGGACAUCCUUUUGUGUGAAAAACUGAGGUGGAAUGGGAUGGCCCCGCGUCUGAUUAGCCAGUUGGCAGGGUAACGGCCUACCAAAGCGACGAUCAGUAGCCGGCCUGAGAGGGCGACCGGCCACAUUGGGACUGAGACACGGCCCAAACUCCUACGGGAGGCAGCAGUGGGGAAUAUUGCACAAUGGGGGAAACCCUGAUGCAGCGACGCCGCGUGAGUGAAGAAGUAUUUCGGUAUGUAAAGCUCUAUCAGCAGGGAAGAAGAUGACGGUACCUGCACAAGAAGCCCCGGCUAACUACGUGCCAGCAGCCGCGGUAAUACGUAGGGGGCAAGCGUUAUCCGGAUUUACUGGGGUGUAAAGGGAGCGUAGACGGAAGAUCAAGUCAGGUGUGAAAGGCAUGGGCUCAACCCGUGGACUGCACUUGAAACUGGUCAUCUCGAGUGUCGGAGGGGCAGGCGGAAUUCCUGGUGUAGCGGUGAAAUGCGUAGAUAUCAGGAAGAACACCGGUGGCGAAGGCGGCCUGCUGGACGAGUACUGACGUUGAGGCUCGAAGGCGUGGGGAGCAAACAGGAUUAGAUACCCUGGUAGUCCACGCAGUAAACGAUGAAUACU
rnacentral:rRNA from 1 species